AUCAAAGCUCAAACCUAUAAAUGAACAUGAAUUAAUGAUCACCUACACAAGGGGAUCAUGAGGGAUCAUGUCAAGAUGGAUGGAAGCAUGGAAGGCUAAAGGGUCAAAAGGAAGCAAGGAAACAGAUACGAAUACAAACGUUUAAGGUAUACUAUUGUGUCCUUAUGAAGAUUUGAUGAUUGGAUGCAAGAUUGUACUCGGAAAGAUAAACAUAAAAGAAUAGCAUGAAUAGAAGAAUGCGGAAUGGUCAUUUAAUUGCGUAUGUCUAGAUUAAGGAUGAUGUCAACAAAUAUUAAUGACGCGCAUGUAUGUGGUGAUUGCAGGUUGCACGGAAUUAACAUCAUUGUGGUUGAAGAUCGAGUCGAAGAGCAAGGAUUGUACGGGAAGAACGGUCUCAUAGCUUGUAUUUAUGGUAUCACAUUUAACGCGUUAAUCAAGAAUGAAUGUUGUAAAUCCUUUCAAGAAGUGUCCGACAGAUUAUAAAUGAA